rnacentral:rRNA from 1 species
GUCCACGCCCUAAACGAUGUCAACUGGUUGUUGGGUCUUCACUGACUCAGUAACGAAGCUAACGCGUGAAGUUGACCGCCUGGGGAGUAUGGCCGCAAGGUUGAAACUCAAAGGAAUUGACGGGGACCCGCACAAGCGGUGGAUGAUGUGGUUUAAUUCGAUGCAACGCGAAAACCUUACCCACCUUUGACAUGUACGGAAUUUGCCAGAGAUGGCUUAGUGCUCGAAAGAGAGCCGUAACACAGGUGCUGCAUGGCUGUCGU